rnacentral:rRNA from 1 species
GAUGAACGCUGGCUGUGUGCCUAAUACAUGCAUGUCGAGCGAAGCACUUUUGUGCUCAGCGGCGAAUGGGUGAGUAACACGUACUUAACCUACCCUCAAGAUUGGGACAACACUUGGAAACGAGUGCUAAUACCAAAUACGUAUUUUUAUCGCAUGAUAGAUAUAUAAAAGGAGCUUCGGCUUCACUAGAGGAUGGGAGUGCGCUACAUUAGUUAGUUGGUAGGGUAAUGGCCUACCAAGACUAUGAUGUAUAGCGGGGCCGAGAGGCUGAUCCGCCACACUGGGACUGAGAUACGGCCCAGACUCCUACGGGAGGCAGCAGUAGGGAAUUUUCCACAAUGAACGAAAGUUUGAUGGAGCGACACAGCGUGCAGGAUGAAGGUCUUCGGAUUGUAAACUGCUGUUAUAAGAGAAGAAAAACCCUGGUAGGUAAUGACCAGGACUUGACGGUACCUUAUCAGAAAGCGACGGCUAACUAUGUGCCAGCAGCCGCGGUAAUACAUAGGUCGCAAGCGUUAUCCGGAAUUAUUGGGCGUAAAGAGUUCGUAGGUGGUUUUGUAAGUCUGAAGUUAAAUACCGGGGCUCAACCCCGGCCCGCUUUGGAUACUGCAAAACUAGAGUAAUAGAGAGGUUAGUGGAACUCCAAGUGAAGCGGUGGAAUGCGUAGAUAUUUGGAAGAACACCAAUGGCGAAGGCAACUAACUGGAUAUUAACUGACACUGAGGAACGAAAGCGUGGGUAGCAAACAGG